UAAGCCAACCUAGCCCUUUCUAUUUUAAAAUCAGGUUAUUCCACCAAGACCCAACAUCAGCAGCCCAUAGCUACAACAUAAUAACAAAUGCCCUAGUCCUAACAUCAACUGCCCCAGUACAGCCAAUCCCUUAACCAAUCAGCCCAAUCCCUUAAUAACCCUUAACCCCUUUUUUACUUUCCCCAUCUACAUACAACACACAACAACAAUAUCAACAUCAAAUAUCAAUCACGACAAACAAAAACAACCUAGAUCUAAGCAAACUUGGUACCAACAUCAUCAAAUAACUUCUUUUUAGUCGCCAAACUACGCACAAAUCUCUUCCCCAAUUCCAUAUGCGUACUAUUGCUAUGUGAGAGGCACGGUUCAUGGUAUAAAUCAAAGCCUAGAACCUUUUAAAAAUUAUCAUAGGUGGGCGGAAAUAUAUGUUGGCUUCCCAACAAUCGCAACGUUUACCACUAAAAUCCAUUCAAUCAGACUCAAAUUCAUACGUACGUGCCUACCCAUUUCAUGGUUAUGAUCAAUUUAUGUUUGAAUUUAAAUAUUUUCAUCCCCAAAUUUUUAUUUGUUUCCCCCCAUAGUCAUUGCAAAAGAUAUUCUAUAAAUUCCCUUUUCUAUAGAGAAAUAGAGGAUGGGAUUUUUAGAAAAAAAUUAGAGAUUAUCGAGGAGCAUUCCUCUAAUCUCACAUAACCAUAAAUUCAUCGUAAAAAUACUUAAUUUCAAUAAAUCGCUCAAAUUUAGAUGAAGUUAAUUCAAAUUUUGGUGAAAUCAAGUGAUAAUCCAGUGGUGGAAGUUGCAUUAUGAUAAGAUCGUUCUCCCAAGGUCUGCCAAGAAAUAGGUAAAUAUUGUGUCUCUUCACAUUUUCUUUUGUUUUGAGUUUAGACGUUGAGGACUUGUUGAAACUUUGUUGUUGUAAGUAAGAAUAUGGUAUAAUGGUGAAUUUUUUCAUUAUGAUUCAUUAUGGGAGCAUGGACUUAUUUGAAGAAUGUGUGAUAAUAUGUUUAAAAUAUUCCCAAAGUUAGCGAUAUAGUUUCAACUUUUUGUUGGAUUUUUAUAGUUCUGGCAAUUUUUUCAUUUUUCUUAUUUCCCAAAUGUUAAAAUCCAUUCCUUAGCUUUUACGCUUGGUGCCAAUAUGAAAUAUCAUGAAUGAAUCUGGAGAUUUUGGGUAAUGAGUUUUCUUUAUGCCAUCUUGUUUGAAUUGUGGUGCACUGUCAACCAAUUUUUUCUUCUUUUUUCUUAAACAAACAUAGGCACUUGGGACUUGUUAGAUGAAAUAUCAUUAAUCCUCACUUUUCCAUGUCCCCCAUUAUUUGAAACUAGAUUUUCAAAUUGUUUUUAUCAUAGGAAAUUUAAAUAUUUUCUCAUCAAAUGUGCAUUGCUCUAUUGGUUUGGUUUUAUUUGAAUAAUAAAUGUUUGACUUAACUAUUGCAUAGUUAAUGAGAUAUCUUAUUUUGGUGAGAAACAAUAGCAUAUAAUUAACUAAAAACUUUGUAGUUCAAUAUGUAAAAUCUUGUUCUCAUUUGAGUUUACUUCACAAAGAUAAUUUCUAAUCCUUAUUUCAUUUUGCUUAUACUUGUGAAUUCAUCCAAGUCUAAUUGGACUCCAUACCCCUGCAUCUCUCUGGGAUCAAGUUCCAAACUUCUUCAAAUAGACUAGUUCAUGAAGAAAUAAGGCUAAUAUUGUAACAACCCAAGACUACCCCCUAGUCGUUACAUAGUGCUUAUAGUCCCGAGGAAUCAUAAGUUAACCCAUGAGCUGGUACUUGCUGUGAGCACUGGAUAAUAUAGUUAUAUAUGCGGAAGAAAUCAACUAGUAUUGCCAUAAAGUUUUAAUACUAAAUUAAUAUUGGAAUAUAAAUCUAUAGAAAACAAUUGUCUGAGUCUGAGAAAAUACUAAUAAAAUGGAUAACUAACUGACUAUAAUGUCUAAAUAUUGAAUAACUGACUCUAAUGUCUGAAAUGCCUCUAAAAUUGACUGACUAAGAGUUGAUGGGACAGGCCCCCAACUAACUCUGCUAACUACUGAAAUAAAUACAUGUAGGAAAUAGUUUGUCCUCGGAUGAUUAAGACUCACUACUGCUACUGUACUGGCUAGUAAUCUGGGAAUCUAAGUGCGAUCCGGGAACUGAGCAUCAGCACGAUAUGAAACCUCAUAGCACAAAAGAAAAGUAUGCAAUCAGUACUUUGAAUGUACCUAGUAUACUAAAUGAGGUAGGCUAAUAUACAAAGUUUCAUGAAUAGGAGUAAUAAACUAUCUGAUUAUACAUGUAAAGCAUGGAGUACUGAGUAUAGGACAUGAAAUCUAUAGAUACUGGAGAUAUGUAAAGUGUAUAAAUAUUGCAUAUGCAUAAGAGUCUAUAAAUACUAUAAAUGUAUGAAAAGUUGUAGGCACUAAGGAUGCAUGACCAAGCAUAUAACAUGGACUGAGUAAAAUCUGUAGACUGAAAUACUGAAAUAACUGAUAUCAGAAUGCUUUGGUCAAACAACACUAAACUGAAUAACUGACUGGAACUGUAACUGAGACUGAACCUGAAACUGUGGGAGGUAUCAUCUAAUCAACAUGCCCUAAUCUGAGCAAAUCGGGGUCCAACCUAUAACCCCAGUUGGAUGGGUGUUAAUACCAUGCCAUGAGUACUAACAUUGGCUGUGUGGAUCUACUAGACUGAUAUAAUGUCCAAAGGACUAAGGAUGUCAAGCCUGAACUGAUGGGUGACCCCUGUGAGAUAGUCAAGCCUAAUUUGAUGGGUGAGUACUUAUAUCCUAAACUGGCUACAUAGUUUUGGAGUAUAGGGACUGCUGCUAAUGACUUUGCCUAUCUGACGGGGAAGCCACCAUCCCUACACUUGCUCGGUGCUAAAUCCUACUCCCAACUGAAUAACACUGAGAUACUAGACUAUUCUGAGUUUAACUGACUGUUCUGAUAAUGCUCAUGAUAUAAUCUAAAGUUAUGCUGAAGAUACUGAGACAACAUUAAGUAAACAGCUAAGGUUUCGGGUAUUCAAUACCCCUAGGACUCAAAAUAAUAGUAGUAGCAUGACACUAAAACAUUGAAGGGCAUGGCAUGAAAACUCUUAUUAAAUCAAUUGCUCUUGUAGGCAUUUUAUCAAACACUUGUAGUUCAUGGUUUAAAAUAAUCAUAAAAAUACUAAAGGACUGGCAUAAUUGACAUGAAAUUAUCAUGGAAAACACAAAGUCAUGAUUUAAUUCGAUAAAUGAUAACACCAAAGCAUGAGAAAUCGAAUAACAACAAUAACUUCAUUAAAGCAUGGUAUCAAAUCAAAGUUCCUGGAGAUUAAUUGAUGAAUUCAUAAUUUAAUAUCAUAGAUCUUGAAAAUAUGAUAGCUUUGAAAUUUAAAAUGGACACUUAGACGCCGUGGAUGAAAGGAAUCCAUGGAUAAACAUCUACAAUACCUGGGAUAAUGAAUUUGGGAGGAUUGAUGGAGAGUUCUUGAGAAAUUACCUUGAAUUUGAGAGCUAGGGUUCUUGUUUUUAAAAAGGGGAUCUUCAAUUUUGAAGAAUAUUUCAAUAAUGAAUGACUAUUUAGGUCAAUUAAGGAUAAAUUUCGUGUUUUAGGUUAAUUGAAGUCGUGGAAGAAGACUCAAUUACCCUUGGACGAAUUUAAAAACGGAAGCUGAAAACUGAAAAAACCCGAUUUUUGGCCUUCCACUAUCGCGUCAAGCCACUAGAAAAUGGACAAAUGGGAAUUUGGCCUGCUCCGCGAUGCGCCAUGAUCGCGGAGUCACACUAUAAAUUGACAAUUUUCAUUUACAUUGCCUACGCGAUGCGCUGAAGGUUAAAAUGAUGGUGUUUAAUGAUUAAAACCUAAAAUUGUCAUAACUUCUUACCCGGUUAUCAAAUUUCAGUGAAUUUUAUAUCUUGGAAAGCUAAUUGAAUUUUCUAUGCUAUGGCAAGCUCUAAACUGAAAAAUAAUGAGUGUUUCAAAAAUUUUAUAUAUGAAUACUCAUGUAUUGGGACUUAUAUUAUGCUAGGAAAAUACGAGGUGUUACAGAUAUACACUAAAAUACAGUUAUUAUAUAGAUUUCACAGGUCAAUAAAAGUUGAUAUACAAUAAUUUGUGGCAUAUACAAUAGUAAAUGAAGGCAAGGAAGUGAAGAUACCAAUUUUUAUACAGUGUGUAUACAGAAAAUGCAGCAAUAAUAAGUCUGAUAUACAGUCAAUAUAAAGCUUAUAUACGCUGCAAAAAUGGAUCAAAGUCCAUAAUGAUUGAGCCCAAAGGCUGACUAGAUAUGUAAAUGGGAUAAAAGGGCCCAAAUUGUAACUUUUCUCAUUUAUUCCUUUGUAAAUCCUAUUUGAUUAUGUGUUUGUAAUUGUAGGCAAACCAAUUUUAUCAUACAUUCCACCAAUGUAUAACAAACAUCCGGGUGUAUGAUAAUAUUUUUCAAAAUAGGGAGAGAGAAAACCUAAAGGUAUUUUCUGUAAAUACUUUUAUAUUACAUGGAAUUUCUGUGUUUUAUACUAUUAAAAUUUACAUAUAUACACAAACUAAAGUUACCUUAUUACAUUAUAUACCAAUUUGGUAAAAUAUUUACACAAAUCUUAAACUAAUUACAUAAAUCCCCAUUUUUUUACUUUCUCUCUCCAAUACCUUACAUAUCUAAAACAGGGGUUUUCUCUUCCGCAAUUUAUUUCCCAUAUGCUCCCACUACACACCCAAUAUAUCCUCUAUAUUUGAAUCCUUUUUUUCACAGCAAAAUUCAAGUUACCUAUACUUGGAGGUUACCAAUUUGUAAGUUUUGAAGCUUUAAUUGAUUUUUCUUUUUUUUUUUUAACUUUACCAAUUUAGGAUUUUACCCGUUUAUUCUAUGGAUGCAUGUUCGUUUAUAUGAAAUUACUUUAUUUUGCAAGUAUAUUCAAGUUUCGUAGUUUGAAUUUUUUAUUUUUCUUCAUAUAAUACAAGUUAGAUUUUUUAUUUUCUUGGUUUGUAGUUGCUUCAGCUUGAUUGAAUUAGUAUAAAAUUGGUAAUGGAUUCUCUUCCUAGCUUUAGUUUAGGAUUUAGUCAAUUAGAUUCUCAAAAAUAAGAUAUUCCCGUUGGGUUUGUUCCUUGUACAUUUGAUUUUGAAGAACCCAAUUUCGCAUAGAAUCGUUCAAUGCAUCGAAACGACCCGGCAACAAUGAAGAAAUUUAAGGAAAUGGCUAGUUCUAUAUCGAAGAAGUCAGGUUCAAAAGCGGCCAGUAAGAAAAAGUUUGAUGAUUUCGGUCGACCAAGUCUUUUGAAAGUAUUGAUUAUACAAUAAAUUUUAGUUACUUUUGAACAUUAAUGUAUAAUAUAUUAGAACACAUUAAUUUUUUGGUACACUAAUGUAUGAUAUUAGUAUUCUGUUAUACAUUUUAAUAUUUUAUAAAUUGGAAGUUCUUAUUACAUAUAAGAGGCAUUUUAUUUUUUUGUGGUAUUAUAUAGUUAGAAAGUCUUCAUAUUGUAUAAGGUUUCAUUAUACAUUCUGAUAAGCUUAUAUGUCAUAUAUGUUUAAAGUCAAAUGUUUAGUCCAUCAUUAUACAUUUCUUAUUUUUGAAUACUAAUGCAUAAUAUUAUUAUUCUAAUAUAUAUUUCUUUAUGUUAUACAUUUCAUGCUCUUAUUAUACAUAAUAGGCAUUUUAUGUUUUAUUUCAUAUUAUACAUUUAGAAAGUCUUAAUAGUGUAUAAGGUUGUAACAACCCAUACUUUCAAACUAGAAUUUAGACCGUCGUUCCUACGCGUAUAGAUUUGAACUAAGAAAUUUCUUGUUAAUAUAUGUGUGGUGAUCAGUCCUAAAGUGUAGGAAUAUUUUUGAAUAUGAUUUGAGAUCACAAAAAUCCCCUAACUCUAAGAUGAGUUGAAAAUAUUUCUAUCGAUUAAGUUUUAGAGGAUGUUUCAACUUGAGUCAACUUCCAGCGACCAUAAAUCUUAAUAUAUAUAGAAUUAUAGGACCUACUAUAUAUCAAAUAAAAGUUCUUCGAGUUAUCUUUCCAGCAAUAUCAACCAAAAUUCGACACCCGAGCAAGAAUUAUGGCUUUUCAAAGUGGAGUGUGUCGCCUAGCAUAAGGUGUGCGACGCACAACCUAACUUAUUCUAUAAGGUGUGUGACGCACAACCUAAUGUGUGCGAUAAAGUAUAUGUCGCACAACCUAGCUUAUGCAUUAAGGUGUGCACCGCAUACAUUGUGGUCCAAGCGACUUAAACACUCCGUAUUUGGGGCAAAAUGGUCAUUUUUCCACCCCUAUAUAAGCCACAAAUACGGAAUUUUACUCCAAAAACACCAAAAUAUACUUCUUCCAAUUUUCUCUCUAAAACAACACCCCUCAGUUCCAAACAUAAAUCAAGAUCCCUCAAGAUUCAAUCGUGUAUUUUCAAAAUUGAUUGAAGAUUUGGAAUCCCCAAACCGUAGGCUUCAAGAAUCAUCCAUGACUCUCCAUAAUCGAGGUACGUGGGGGGGUUUUUCCAAAAAUUCAUGGGCAAAGAAAAAAAGAUUUAGAAAUCAUAAUUUUACGGAAAGGGUUGAAUUUUACUAUUACUAGCAUAUUUUAGAAGCUCUAAUUAAUAUUGUUUGGUAUUUGGGCCUUUCCCCAAAUUAAUUUGAAAUUCUAUAUAUAUGUAUGAAUGUGUUUAAUAAUAAAUAUUCAAUUGAGAGCAUGAAUUAUAAUAAAAUUCCUCUCUUGUUAUGAUUUUCCUUUACUUAUGAUAUGCUAUGAAAUGUUUUGAAUGUAUUUUGAAAAACAUGAUCUGAAACAUCUUGAUUUAUACUAUGACUUGAAUAUGAUUUUAGAAUCAAAAAAGAGGUUUAUGCAUGUUGAUGAAUAUUGAAUAUUCAUAAAAUGAAAGAGUACAUGGUUUUGCCAAAAGCUCAUAACCACCAUAUGUUUUAAGAAUUCUUGCAUAGUUUUGACUUAUGUUUCGAAAUAUGAAAUCUCUUAUACUAUUUACAUAUUUGGGUGGUCUGAAUUAGGUUUUGAUGAAAGAAUUAUGUGUGAUGCAGUAUGGAUCAGAAACAGGACUUGCAAGUCUUGGUGUGACGACACCAAUUUAGAUUAUGCCAUGAUAAUUCAGAACAGAUGAGAACACAUAUUUGAAAUUAGAUUUUCAUAUGUUGAAACUAGAAAGAAAUGCACGAUUUAGAACAUCAUAAAAUUGGGUAUAAAAAUAGCUUAGGUGGUUCCCUGAAAAAUGCAUGAGUUCAGAUAACUCAUUCGUCAAAACCGUUAUUUGCCGAUCCGGGUUUAUAUAUAACGCUGGCCAAGAGCCCUGUGGCAUAUCAGACUCAGACACUCCAACCCUUAUGGCACACUUGGUUUGAAGGCUUCCCCACCGAGUCAAUGGAGUAUUUCAUAUAGCCCGUGGAAUAUCAAACUUUUAGGGGAGUGCCACCUAACUCGAAAGUAAUAAAAAAAUCAAAAUUUGCAUUGACAGAAAGGUUUCAUAUUUUCAAAAAGUGCCCGUGUGUUUUGAAAACCACUUGAUGUAUGAUGUUUUGUCAAAGUUUCUCUCAACUAUUUAAUUAUAUUAAAGCUUUAUUUUGGAUUUCGUUGCAUAGCAGUACAUAUGUAUUAACCUCCCUCCUUCCUCCAGGUUCUGAGGCUCAAUGUAGGGGUCCAGAAAAGCAGUAGAGUUUAACAGACAGAGUUGCAGGUGUUCAGUUGGUGAGCCUUAUAUAUUUCAGAAGGCCUGUCUUUUCAGAUUAUGUUAAUUAUUUCUGUUUUGGUCUUUUUGGGGCCUUGACCCAGUUUCAGAUAGUUGACAGAUUUUCAUGUAGUAGAGAUUUCGCAGACUGAGUCAGAUAUUAUUAGAUGUAGUUGAUUUUCAAUCUUCAUACUUAUGUUGAAUCUAGAACCGAC
rnacentral:lncRNA from 1 species